GAAGAUCUGUGAUGAAUACGUAUCACAAGUUUAGACUCCUUUGGUUGAAACCUUGUGUUAAUGAAAUGACCUUUUCCGUAUUUGCACGUCAGUCUGAGAUCUUC
rnacentral:snoRNA from 1 species